UUUUAGUUGGGGGAUAAUAUCAACCAAUAACAAACGAUUUCAGAAAGAGAAUAUCGCGAGAGCGUUCUAUCGUCGAUUGCUGGUUAAGCUUGGAGUAGAGUCUUCUCUUUCUCAAUUUGUUUCCUAACAAGACAUCUGCAAUAGAAGGAAGAGAGGAGAAAAGAAGAGAAAUCAAAAAUUAUUUUGCCAUUUGUACUUUUUAUUGCCAAAAUCAAGAAUCAAAAAGAGAUACGAAAAGUAUUGCACUUGUACAAACAAUAUAUAUAAUUUGCUGUUGGCCAAAAAUAUUCUUUUUGAAUUUUUGUUAUCUACUACCAAGAGGAAAAGCGAAAGAGAGAGAGAGGGAGGGAUACAGAGAGCCAAAGAGUAGAGCAAAGAUUGUGUGUCAGUAAGUAAAAAUAAGAGACAGGGUGAAGGACAGAGCUGGGCAAAAGGAAGAGGACUGGGAGAUAAAAGGAAAGAGAGGGAAUUAUUGAAAGCUUCUAAUAGGAUGAGAAUGACAAAACUUUGGAUUUGAUAAAGAAAAAGCGAUAUAGUUUGGUCGUUUUAUUUAUCCAAUAAACCUUAAAAUCAAGGAGGAAAGGAAGGAAGGAAAAGAGAAAGGAGAGAAAAUCGGUCAUUCACGUAAAAUGCCUCUGUCUGGAAACAACUCAAGUUUGGUUGAUAACUCGAAAAAUAAUUUUUACGGAACCCCGCCUGUUCAAAUCAACUAUCAAUCAACAGCAUGGAAAAUUCAGGCUAUGUAUCUUAUAUUGUGCCCAAUUGUGUUUCUAAUUGGUAUUGGUGGAAAUCUUUUGGCUACUAUUGUUCUUAGAUCAAAGUCUUUUCGAAAGGUGCCAUCAUCCAGAGUUUUAGUAGCUUUAGCGAUUGUUGAUUCACUUGUAUUGUUGGUUGGCGUUCUAAGAGUUUUCACUACAUCUGUAAGCGAAAAAGAAAUAAGAAAUGUAAAUACCGGUCUUUGCAAAUUGCAACCAUUUCUAGAAUUUUGGAUGACUCACUCAUCAGCAUGGCUCCUAGUUCUCGUUACGGGUAUGAGAGCAUUGAGUUUAAUAUCUCCACUAAAGGUUAAAGCUUGGAUUACGCAUCGGGUCGAGUGGAUUUCUAUAAUAAUUGUUCUUUUGGUUACAUUCGCUUCUAAUUCAUAUGUUUUAUUCGGUAUGAAACUGGAAAGUAAGACUAAAACAAUAAGAGUGUGCCACGACGGCUGGAAUAAAGGAUUGAGUGAAGCUAGAGAACUUUUCGAUCAAAUAUUCGGCAGUUUUAUCCCUUUUGCCUUUAUCCUGACGGGAAACUUGAUCAUCCUUUCCUUAAUGUUAAGAUCGAGGAGAACUCAACAGAAUCUAACGCAAGGUUCUAUAAAUAAAGAUCAGAAUAAGAUCAAGUCAACAACCAUCAUGCUUCUAACAGUCAGCUUUGCAUUUCUCGUAACGACUGCUCCAUUGCUCGUUUUCUCGAGAGAGUUUAAUAACAUUCAAGCCCGCAUUGGUCCAGAUAAUACUGGUUUGCUUUGGAAUAGUUUUCAAAUACUAUUCUAUUCUAAUUAUAUAUUGAACUUUUACUUGUAUUGUGCCUCUGGUAAAGCAUUUAGAUUAGCUCUUAUAAAAAUCCUAAGUCCUGAAAGUACAAGAAAAUUUUCGAAUGGUUCACACGGCCAAACACAAAACUGCACAGUAACUUCAAGGGGAAUUUAAUGUAUUUAUAAUUCUACAUCUAUAUAUAUAUUCACUUGUCUCCAGAUAACACUAAAUCACUCUAACAGCACAGUAUCAUGUCUGCAAAAGACACCUUACUACAAACUAUAGAUAACUCACAAACUACUUUAUCAAUAUUUUUAUAUCAUUGUUUUCUUUUCAUAAUUGAUGAAUUAGGUUACUGAUUUUUUAAUUCCCUUUGGUAUUAAUCAUUUUAUCUUGAACAGUAAAUAACUUUUUACCUUAAUAUUUUAUAUAUUCAGAAAAUUCAAUUGUUUGUAUUAUCGUUAACAGAACGCCGAGAAGUUUUGCUUCUUUUUACGUUUCCUUUGUUUCUAUGUAGUUUUCCUUGUAUUUCUCUUUUGUAAUUAUUGAAAAAAACAAGAGCUAAACUAAUAAUAAGGGUUAUUAUAAACAUAUGAAAGAGGAUACAAUGUAUAUAGUAAAAAAGGUUUUGAUAAGUUUCUUUCAGUGCCAAAGAUUUUUUGUUUUGAGUUAAUCAACGAAAAACUCGUACAGAAAAAGCUUAAAAUUGCUUAGAGGGAUCUGGGUAUUGACGAUAAUAAUUGAUGAAUAUACGGUAAUAUAUUACAUACAUGUAUACUUUAUUAUUAAAGCUAGAAGGCAAAUUUCGUACACGCAAACGGUAAAUACAGAGUAUUAUUGAUACUGUAUGUAUAUUAUAUGUACAUAAUCUUUUGAUUAGUAGAGAGAAGGAUCAGCAUUCAGUAUAAGAAUAGAUUUCACAAAGAAAGGCAAAGUUAUUAGUAUUUUUUGUAAAUUAUUGAAAUUAUAUCUGAAAAGCACUUCCCAGUUCAACCAUAUUAAUAAAUCAUUUGUACUUAUUACAAUUUACCAACACUGAAGCAUGAAUUAUUCAUAAAACUAGAUCUAUAUUAUCUCAGUGCAAACCAUUAAACUGAACAAAGUUUAAGGAAUGCAUUAAAAGUACUUGUACAACCUUUUUGAAUUAUUCAAAACGUUCUUAAUUAAACUUUGGCGUUUACGUGACAUAAAAUUCAAUGUUAAAGUUUCCUUACAAAAAGUUGCGAAAAGUAAGUCAAGUAAGAUAAACAAAUGAUCAAAGUAUUUGUUACAACAUUAAAAUUUAAAUAAAUAAACAAAUAAAUAAAUAUUGUAUAUGAUGUUUUUUUAUAGAAAACGUAUUGUUGUUGUUGUUGAAAAAAAGUAAAUACACAGUAAUAUCUACUUUAUAAAAGAAGAGUAAUUGCAAGAGAAAACAUCACGCAGACAUUCCCUUCUCCUAUCUCUUUGAUACUUUGAUACUUAUUUUCUUUUUUUUUUGAUAUAAUCAAUAAAUAAACCAAAUCAUUUGAAUUGAAAUCACUGCGAAUGGA
rnacentral:misc_RNA from 1 species